UACGUAGGCAGCAAGCGUUGUUCGGAGUUACUGGGCGUAAAGGGUGCGUAGGCGGCCCUGUAAGUAUGGUGUGAAAUCUCCCGGCUUAACUGGGAGGGUGCGCUAUAGACUGUGGGACUAGAGUGUGGGAGAGGAAGUGGAAUUCCUGGUGUAGCGGUGAAAUGCGUAGAUAUCAGGAGGAACACCGGUGGUGUAAACGGCUUUCUGGACCAUAACUGACGCUGAGGCACGAAAGCGUGGGUAGCAAACAGG
rnacentral:rRNA from 1 species